rnacentral:rRNA from 1 species
UGAGUUUGAUCCUGGCUCAGAUUGAACGCUGGCGGUAUGCCUUACACAUGCAAGUCGAACGGUAGAGGGGCAACCCUUGAGAGUGGCGAACGGGUGAGUAAUACAUCGGAACGUGCCCAGUCGUGGGGGAUAACGUAGCGAAAGCUACGCUAAUACCGCAUACGACCCGAGGGUGAAAGCGGGGGACUCGCAAGAGCCUCGCGCGAUUGGAGCGGCCGAUGGCAGAUUAGGUAGUUGGUGGGGUAAAGGCCCACCAAGCCUGCGAUCUGUAGCUGGUCUGAGAGGACGACCAGCCACACUGGGACUGAGACACGGCCCAGACUCCUACGGGAGGCAGCAGUGGGGAAUUUUGGACAAUGGGCGAAAGCCUGAUCCAGCCAUACCGCGUGCGGGAAGAAGGCCUUCGGGUUGUAAACCGCUUUUGUCAGGGAAGAAAUCCUUUGGGUUAAUACCUCGGAGGGAUGACGGUACCUGAAGAAUA